rnacentral:rRNA from 1 species
GAUGAACGCUGGCGGCGUGCUUAACACAUGCAAGUCGAACGAAGCUGUUAAAAGGAAGUCUUCGGAUGGAAUUUUAACAGACUUAGUGGCGGACGGGUGAGUAACGCGUGGAUAACCUGCCUUAUACAGGGGGAUAACGGAGAGAAAUUUCCGCUAAGACCGCAUAAGACCACAGCACCGCAUGGUGCAGGGGUAAAAUAUUAAUAGGUAUAAGAUGGAUCCGCGUCCGAUUAGCUAGUUGGUGAGGUAGAGGCUCACCAAGGCGACGAUCGGUAGCCGGCCUGAGAGGGUGAACGGCCACAUUGGGACUGAGACACGGCCCAAACUCCUACGGGAGGCAGCAGUGGGGAAUAUUGGACAAUGGGGGAAACCCUGAUCCAGCGACGCCGCGUGAGUGAAGAAGUAUUUCGGUAUGUAAAGCUCUAUCAGCAGGGAAGAAAAUGACGACCUGACUAAGAG